rnacentral:rRNA from 1 species
CCUACGGGCGGCUGCAGUGGGGAAUAUUGGACAAUGGGCGAAAGCCUGAUCCAGCAAUGCCGCGUGAGUGAUGAAGGCCUUAGGGUUGUAAAGCUCUUUUACCAGGGAUGAUAAUGACAGUACCUGGAGAAUAAGCUCCGGCUAACUCCGUGCCAGCAGCCGCGGUAAUACGGAGGGAGCUAGCGUUGUUCGGAAUUACUGGGCGUAAAGCGUGCGUAGGCGGCUAUUCAAGUCAGAGGUGAAAGCCUGGAGCUCAACUCCAGAACUGCCUUUGAAACUAGAUAGCUAGAAUCUUGGAGAGGUGAGUGGAAUUCCGAGUGUAGAGGUGAAAUUCGUAGAUAUUCGGAAGAACACCAGUGGCGAAGGCGACUCACUGGACAAGUAUUGACGCUGAGGUACGAAAGCGUGGGGAGCAAACAGGAUUAGAUACCCUAGUAGUC